GAUGAACGCUGGCGGCGUGCCUAAUACAUGCAAGUCGAGCGAACAGACGAGGAGCUUGCUCCUCUGACGUUAGCGGCGGACGGGUGAGUAACACGUGGAUAACCUACCUAUAAGACUGGGAUAACUUCGGGAAACCGGAGCUAAUACCGGAUAAUAUAUUGAACCGCAUGGUUCAAUAGUGAAAGACGGUUUUGCUGUCACUUAUAGAUGGAUCCGCGCCGCAUUAGCUAGUUGGUAAGGUAACGGCUUACCAAGGCAACGAUGCGUAGCCGACCUGAGAGGGUGAUCGGCCACACUGGAACUGAGACCCGGUCCAGACUCCUACGGGAGGCCGCAGUAGGGACUCUUCCGCAAUGGGCGAAAGCCUGACGGAGCAACGCCGCGUGAGUGAUGAAGGUCUUCGGAUCGUAAAACUCUGUUAUUAGGGAAGAACAAAUGUGUAAGUAACUAUGCACGUCUUGACGGUACCUAAUCAGAAAGCCACGGCUAACUACGU
rnacentral:rRNA from 1 species